rnacentral:tRNA from 1 species
GAGGUUGUGGCUCAGCGGUAGAGCAUUCACCUGGUGCGUGAGAGGCCAUGGGUUCGAUUCUCAGCACCACA